UUGAGCCGUGUGAUGGGAAACUAUCACGCACGGUUCUGAGGGGGCUCGGGAUGCUCACCCAAA
rnacentral:ncRNA from 1 species